GUCGGUGUUGAUGGCGCGUAGGACCCACCCGUUCCCAUCCCGAACACGGAAGUUAAGCUACGCAGCGCUGAAGAUACUUGGCGGGAAGCUGCCUGGGAAAAUAGGGCGAUGCCGACA
rfam:Clostridium sp. ATCC 29733 genomic scaffold Scaffold102, whole genome shotgun sequence.